AGAGUUUGAUCAUGGCUCAGAACGUACGCUGGCGGCACGCCUUAUACAUGCAAGUCGAACGAAGUAGCAAUACUUAGUGGCAGACGGGUGAGUAACAUGUAGGUAUCUUCCCUUUGGUGAGGAAUAACACGAGGAAACUUGUGCUAAUACCUCAUAAGUCUUUACAGAGAAAGCUUUAUGCGCCGAAGGAUGAGCCUGCAUUUGAUUAGUUUGUUGGUGGGGUAAUGGCUCACCAAGACUUUGAUCAAUAGCUGAUCUGAGAGGAUGAUCAGCCACAUUGGGACUGAGACACGGCCCAAACUCCUACGGGAGGCAGCAGUAGGGAAUAUUGCACAAUGGAGGAAACUCUGAUGCAGCGAUGCCGCGUGAGUGAAGAAGGCCUUUGGGUUGUAAAGCUCUUUCGUCGGGGAAGAAAAUGACUGUACCCGAAUAAGAAGGUCCGGCUAACUUCGUGCCAGCAGCCGCGGUAAUACGAAGGGACCUAGCGUAGUUCGGAAUUACUGGGCUUAAAGAGUUCGUAGGUGGUUAAAAAAGUUGGUGGUGAAAUCCCAGAGCUUAACUCUGGAACUGCCAUCAAAACUUUUUAGCUAGAGUAUGAUAGAGGAAAGCAGAAUUUCUAGUGUAGAGGUGAAAUUCGUAGAUAUUAGAAAGAAUACCAAUUGCGAAGGCAGCUUUCUGGAUCAUUACUGACACUGAGGAACGAAAGCAUGGGUAGCGAAGAGGAUUAGAUACCCUCGUAGUCCAUGCCGUAAACGAUGUGUGUUAGACGU
rnacentral:rRNA from 1 species